UCUCUUAAUUGAUUUAAAGCUAAUCCUGUUCUUUCUGCUUCUCUCUUUUUAAUUUUUGGGUGUUAUUUGAGCAUUUCUUGGUAAGUUGGUAUCAUUUCUGAUUCGCCUUGCUGUAAAGAUUUGAAUUUGUGUUUAAACAAAUUUAGUUCUAUUUGAAAUUUAUGAUUUCACAUCAUAAUGUGCAGAGAGCAGUGAGUCUACGCUUAACAUAUUAAUAACUUCAGUUCUGCUAUAUGCUCAAUCACUAGAUGUUGAGCAUUUGAAUAUGGAAAAAGAGGAAUUUCUUCAAAUCGACUAUUGUUCUCGUGGAUACACAUUAUUGAAUGUACUAGCUACCUUUGAAGAGGAGGACAAGUAGCAUUUUGCAUCUAUCUAUGCCAUGUUUCAGUAUCUGUUGUGGGAGCCGUUUGAUUUAAAGUUUUUUUUUUUUUUUCCAGAUUUUUUUUUUCAAAACAUUUGUUUGGUUAUACGUUGGACUGCUUUUUUGGUUAGUUUUUGAGAUGAGUUUUUCAAGUGAAAAUUGAAUACUAGCUUUGAUCUGCUUUUCAAGUGAAAGAUCUUUACCAAUUUCAAUUUUUUUUCCCAAGUGAAAUGCAUGUCCAAACUCCAAACACACUUUCAACUUUCAAAUAUCAUUUUUUGUAACUUUAACUUUAAUAACUGUUUUUCAAGUUUCAACCAAAUGUAUGUCCAAACGCCUACUUGGUGUCCUUGUUUUUCAUUUUAUUCUCAUUGAUUACCAUGUUUCAGUAUCUGCUGUUAUUCUUAAUAAUUUACUGUAAAUAUUUUUUUCCUUCGUAUUAUUUUCCGCAACACUUCAUACACGAAUUUUGGAGGCUAAGCCAUUUUUUUUCAACAAUUAUAUCAAACUGUGUUUGUUGGCGAGUUUGCUGAGGAAAGAAGGUUAUUCUCUUUUUCAGUUCGAGUCCAAGUAUAUUUAGUACCUUCCAAGUGUUUAUUCACAAUUUAAUGUUUAGCAUAGAAUGGUAGAAUAGGAAGCAACAGGUAAUAGCACCACCCUAACUUGUUGCUUUCUUUAUCAGUGCUAUCACUGUUUGUCCUUUAGAAGUUUCCUGAAGUACCUUUCUUCAGGAUGCGUUUUUGUUCGUUUUCGUAGUAAGCACAAUAAAAUUUAAAGAGUUCUUGAUCUGUUAUCCGCUUUUAUUUCUUUUCACACCAUCCAAAAUUCUUUAUAGAAUCAUAUUUUUGGUUAUUUCCCCUGAAACAAAUGCUUGGAAUGUCACUCCUUGCACCUUUUGCAUGUUGCAUUAUUAUAAGUUUUCAUUCAAGUGCAUUAAGGUGACUUUUGCCUUCUUCGUGCCCUUAAAAUGAUAAUCUGCUUCUCUGCCCUUUGAGGUCUUAUCUGCUCCUGUUAUUUGCGGUUACCGAGGUGACUGAUGAUAUUAAAUUAGGUAAACAAUUCAUCGGGCUAAGAGUAUGUGGCAUCUUGUUAAUGAAAUUGGAAUUGUAACCCUAUUGUCGGCUUGCUGUGAUUCAUUAAGUAACAUAAAGAGGGAAAGUGGAAGUUUCAAAAAAAAAAAAAAAAAAGAAAAGAAAAAAGA